GCUCCUAUAGUAUAAUGGCUAUUACAACGGUUUUGUAAUCCGUGGAUCUCUGUUCGAUUCAGAGUGGGAGCACCA
rnacentral:tRNA from 8 species